rnacentral:rRNA from 1 species
AUUGAACGCUGGCGGCAGGCCUAACACAUGCAAGUCGAACGGUAACAGGAAGCAGCUUGCUGCUUUGCUGACGAGUGGCGGACGGGUGAGUAAUGUCUGGGAAACUGCCCGAUGGAGGGGGAUAACUACUGGAAACGGUAGCUAAUACCGCAUAACGUCGCAAGACCAAAGAGGGGGACCUUAGGGCCUCUUGCCAUCGGAUGUGCCCAGAUGGGAUUAGCUAGUAGGUGGGGUAACGGCUCACCUAGGCGACGAUCCCUAGCUGGUCUGAGAGGAUGACAAGCCACACUGGAACUGAGACACGGUCCAGACUCCUACGGGAGGCAGCAGUGGGGAAUAUUGCACAAUGGGCGCAAGCCUGAUGCAGCCAUGCCGCGUGUAUGAAGAAGGCAUUCGGGUUUUAAAGUACUUUCAGCGGGGAGGAAGGGAGUAAAGUUAAUACCUUUGCUCAUUGACGUUACCCGCAGAAGAAGCACCGGCUAACUCCGUG